UCUGUUACUAAAAUUAGCGACGGGCCGAUCCGGCGGUGUGAGAUAGCAGAGAUCCCAUUCAUUGUGCCGGGGCGGGUCCGUUUAUUUUAGAAAUUUGAUUGUGAUCCAGCCAAGCCAAAUAUAGUCGUAGACAGGUAUUUUUAGCGACAGCGUGUCCUUUCAUUUGAACUAGUUACAUCUCUUUACUACAAUUAAUGCACGCCGAUUCUGUGGUGUUUUGUUUUUUGCCAAUUGCUUCUUUCUUAUACUCCCGUGUUUUGUGCCAUACGUUUAUUUUUUUUAGAUGCACAAACGGUAAUAACAAUGAGCAGGGUGAGCUGUGACUAUCGGAAGCGGUAGAUGUGCUACUGGAGGCUCGAUCUCCGUUAGUAUCACUUGUCUUUGCUGUUUUGGCCCAGAACUAGGGGCCGAAAAUCGGUUACUUUUAACGAGGUGGUUGCGUGGGUGAGCCAGACUACAGAAGAACGUCUCAGUCUCUGGCAUCACCUCCCAGAAGCACGGAAAAGAACUGUGUUCAUCCGGUUUUUUAAACAAGGAAAGGAGAAGAUGAUUAACAGAAGGAACCAUCCCUUAGAAAUGUGUAAUUCCUGUACUGACCACAUGUGAACUUUGGUCAUUUACCCCGGACCAUAAUGCACCUUUCUGCUGUGUUGUGACUACACAGGGCGCAGUGUGAAGCACCAUUUUUCAUUGUGUUUGAAUGAGCGGUUUAUCCAAAUACUGCAGGCUGUGAUCCCCCCGGGCACAUGCCCACUCACACACAUGGUUUUACAGCGUAGAAAAGCUUGAUUCCCCUAAUAGGGAGUGGUAUGGCUGAUUAAAAUAACCACAGUGGAGUGUUAAGUUCUGCUCUUUCCAAGAACUGUCGAAUGGGAACAGGAUCUGAUGGAGGUGACUUCUCUUUCUCUGUUGAUAGAGCAAUAAAAGGUUCUUCCUUACUCA